rnacentral:rRNA from 1 species
CAUAACCUCGGGAAACUGGGGAUAAUACUCCAUAGAUUAGAGAAACUGGAAUGUUCUUUAAUCGAAAGUUCCGGCGCCAUAGGAUGGAUCUGCGGCCGAUUAGGUAGUUGUUGGGGUAACGGCCCAACAAGCCUGUAAUCGGUACGGGUUGUGGGAGCAAGAGCCCGGAGAUGGAAUCUGAGACACGAUUCCAGGCCCUACGGGGCGCAGCAGGCGCGAAAACUUUACAAUGCAGGAAACUGUGAUAGGGGAACCCCGAGUGCCCGUAUACGCGGGCUGUCCAGGUGUCUAAAACGCAUCUGAAGAAAGGGCCGGGCAAGACCGGUGCCAGCCGCCGCGGUAAUACCGGCGGCUCGAGUGGUGACCACUUUUAUUGGGCUUAAAGCGUUCGUAGCUGGACUCUUAAGUCUCUUGGGAAAUCCCGCGGCUUAACCGUGGGGCGUUUAAGAGAUACUGAGAGUCUAGGAACCGGGAGAGGUAAGAGGUACUUCGGGGGUAGAAGUGAAAUUCUGUAAUCCUCGAGGGACCACCGAUGGCGAAGGCAUCUUACCAGAACGGCUUCGACAGUGAGGAACGAAAGCUGGGGGAGCGAACGGGAUUAGAUACCCCGGUAGUCCCAGCCGUAAACGAUGCGCGUUAGGUGUACUGGUGACCACGAGUCACUGGGGUGCCGAAGGGAAACCGUGAAACGUGCCGCCUGGGAAGUACGGUCGCAAGGCUGAAACUUAAAGGAAUUGGCGGGGGAGCACCACAACGGGUGGAGCCUGCGGUUUAAUUGGACUCAACGCCGGGAAGCUCACCGGAUAGGACAGCGGAAUGAUAGCCGGGCUGAAGACCUUGCUUGACCAGCUGAGAGGAGGUGCAU